CCUCGCUCUCUCAGGCCGCUGCGCCGCGGGGUGAGGUGCAGAACCGGCUCUUCGGGAUCCGCGUCCAUCGGCGGCGGCAGCGGUGACCGGGACCCCAUCGGCCCCCGGCUGCACCCGGCAGAUGCCCAUCCUCCUCGCCUAAUCCCGAUCUGGCGCAGUUUAUUCCCGAUUAUCCCUCGGGAAGGGGUAUCGCCGCUAACAGGAGCCCCGAGGGGACCUGGGAGGUGGCAGCAUGAUUAUAUGGGUAAGGAAGAAUGGCUCCCCGAAAAGGAAAGGAGAAGAAUGGAGAGCAGGUGAUGACCACAGGUGGCUGAGGGGGAGAAUGUAUUCGAAGUUUUCAACGACACCUUUGCCCCCGUAACGGACCUGUCUAACAAGUUACUAACGUAGGCCUUUCGUAAAAGCGAAGCGGCGUACAGCGAACAUCCGUAAAGUGGGGGACACCUGUAUCUAGUGUGGACUGGAGGCUGUCCGAGAGGUGAGAGAAAAGGUUUAAAAGGACCUGGAGGCAAACAUUUCAAAGUAAAAUUUAUUAUCAGAGUACAUGCACGUCACCUCAUACGACCCUGAGAUUCUUUCUCUGCGUACAUAAGAAAUUAGUUUUGAACAUUUUGUUACAGAGGGUGGUGCUUAACGUGCAAUAAGCUGCCAGAGGGAUUUGAGGCAGGUUCAAUGAUAAGAUUUAAAAGCUACUUGGAGUGGUGCAUGGAUAGGCAAUGUUAAAAGGGAUUUGGAGCAAUGGGAUAGUAUAAGUGGGCAUCUUGGUUAGUAUGAAUAUGUUGGGCUGAGCGGCCUGUUUCUGUGUGGCAUUCGUCUCUGUGAUUAUGGGCUCUGAUGUGGUUGAUACUCUGUUCUCACGUUACUGUUAAAUGAGACCUUUCUCCGUACAAAUUGCUUGUUGUGUUUUCUCUGUUGUGUUGACCUGAUGUUGGGUAUUGAAUUGUUUGUCUAGUGUUUAUGCGCUACACGCGUGCUGUAUCGGUGUCCUCUUCCACAACCCCUGUUACAUUGCUACUGUGCUACCCUCUUUCAGAAUGGCUCCCCGAAAAGGAAAGGAGAAGAAUGGAGAGCAGGUGAUGACCACAGGUGGCUGAGGGGGAGAAUGUAUUCGAAGUUUUCAACGACACCUUUGCCCCCGUAACGGACCUGUCUAACAAAAUGGCUCCCCGAAAAGGAAAGGAGAAGGAAGAGCAGGUGAUCAGUUUGGGACCACAGGUGGCUGAGGGAGAGGACGUAUUCGGAGUUUGCCACAUCUUUGCGUCCUUCAGUGACACCUCCGUCCACGUAACGGACUUGUCUGGCAAGUGAGUAACCGAUGUCACACGCCGUCACAGCAGAUGUGGGAUAAAAACACCAGACAGAUCGAUACGGGUGUCGGCAGCUGGAGGUACACACUGGGCUGGGCGUCAUGGGGAUAGGAGGGGAAUUGGUGAGUGCUCUGCUGUGCUCAGUUACCCAGAACCCAGCACACAACCAGAGAGCUGAGUGUGUGUUUAACGUUGCCAGUAGAUGUGACGAUGGAUGCUGGUGAGGAUCACGUGGAGUGUUCAGACUGCAGGAUCAGCUUUAUCCCAGCUGCUCAGUGCUGUGGGUGUCGUUUCCCCCUGCAGAGAGGAAUUCGUUUUCUCGUUAUCCUUGUCAGUCCAGUAACCCCGGCUGACGGGGACGCUGGAUCUCGUACAUUCAUUCCUUGAUGGAAGUGUGUAGGGUUGUAAGAGGCAUAGAGUGGACAGACAGCAUCUCUUUCCUGGAGUGACAGUGGCCAAUACCAGAGGGCAUCUGAUUAAGCUGAUUGGAGGAAAGUAUAGGUGGGAUGUUGGGUUUUCACACAGAGUGGUGGGUGAGUGGACCACUGUGCCUGGGGUGGUGAUGGAGACAGAUACAUUAGGGACAUUUAAGAGACUCUCAGAUAGACACGUGGAUGAUAGAAAAUUGGAGGUUAUGUGGGAGGAAACGGUUGGAUUGACCUGGAGUAGGCAGGAUAUCAUGGGCCGAAGGGUCUGUAGUGUUCUGUGUUCUAGCUUCAUGACCUGACUGGGGGCCGGUGCACUGACUUCAGACAGUCAGCCGCAGAGCGAGCUGCCCCUUCACCUACUUCAGGGUUUUGAAUUAAUCUGUCUCUGAGACAAAGUUUGCAAUCCGUAGACUGUCAAGACAGCAGGCUGGAUACAGAGAGAAGUUUUCCCUUAGCAAAGGGUUGUCUACAGCCAGAAUUCAAUUCUUGAGAUGCAAGAAAGGCUUUUUAGGGAUGAGCUGUGGAUUCUGUUCAUUCAGAGGUGGGGUUCUCUGUCUGUAAUCUGACAGCCAUGUUGCUGAAUAUAGUGAAGGAAAAAAGGUUGCAGGAAUGUCGGGGGGAGAACACAGAAAUGAUGUGUGUUGCAGACCAGCCAGGUUUGUAUUGAGAUGAGUCUUGACAUGCUGCAUAUCCCGUUACUCAUUUAAUUCCCUCUGGUAUCAGUUACAGAAUAUCUGGGGGAGGUGGCGGGGUUUAUCACUCGGUGCCGUUUAUGUCUCCCUUUGGAUGUCAACUGCCCAGUGGUGGCAGACUUGCAGUCAUUAAGCUGGAAAGGGAGCAAAGAAGAUCUGUGUUGAUGCUGUCAGAAGUUGAGGGUCUGAGUUCUGAGGGGAGGGUUGAGCAGGCCGGAACUGAUUCCAUGUAAAGUGCGCCGGCUUCCUCCCACGUUCCAAAGACACGUGAUUGAGGGUUAGUGGGCUGUGCCAGUGCUAUGUUGGCACAGGAUACAGAGUGACGCUUGCCGGCUGCCCCAGCACAUUGUCAGACUGUGUUAGUUGUUGGUGCAAAAAGCACCCAUUUCACUGUAUGUUUCGACGUAGAUGUGACAAAUAAAGCUAACCUUUAAUACAGGAGUUCCCCCCGCCCUUUACAAAGGUAAAGUGUUACUAUGAAACCUUUCUUAUGCCGAAAUGGCGUAAAGCGAAGAACCAUUAACUUAUAUGGGAACAAUUUUCGUAAAAGCGAAAAUCCUCUUUGUAAUGCUAAAACAGGUUACUAACGUAGGCCUUUCGUAAAAGCGAAGCGGCGUACAGCGAACAUCCGUAAAGUGGGGGACACCUGUAUCUAGUGUGGACUGGAGGCUGUCCGAGAGGUGAGAGAAAAGGUUUAAAAGGACCUGGAGGCAAACAUUUCAAAGUAAAAUUUAUUAUCAGAGUACAUGCACGUCACCUCAUACGACCCUGAGAUUCUUUCUCUGCGUACAUAAGAAAUUAGUUUUGAACAUUUUGUUACAGAGGGUGGUGCUUAACGUGCAAUAAGCUGCCAGAGGGAUUUGAGGCAGGUUCAAUGAUAAGAUUUAAAAGCUACUUGGAGUGGUGCAUGGAUAGGCAAUGUUAAAAGGGAUUUGGAGCAAUGGGAUAGUAUAAGUGGGCAUCUUGGUUAGUAUGAAUAUGUUGGGCUGAGCGGCCUGUUUCUGUGUGGCAUUCGUCUCUGUGAUUAUGGGCUCUGAUGUGGUUGAUACUCUGUUCUCACGUUACUGUUAAAUGAGACCUUUCUCCGUACAAAUUGCUUGUUGUGUUUUCUCUGUUGUGUUGACCUGAUGUUGGGUAUUGAAUUGUUUGUCUAGUGUUUAUGCGCUACACGCGUGCUGUAUCGGUGUCCUCUUCCACAACCCCUGUUACAUUGCUACUGUGCUACCCUCUUUCAGAAUGGCUCCCCGAAAAGGAAAGGAGAAGAAUGGAGAGCAGGUGAUGACCACAGGUGGCUGAGGGGGAGAAUGUAUUCGAAGUUUUCAACGACACCUUUGCCCCCGUAACGGACCUGUCUAACAAAAUGGCUCCCCGAAAAGGAAAGGAGAAGGAAGAGCAGGUGAUCAGUUUGGGACCACAGGUGGCUGAGGGAGAGGACGUAUUCGGAGUUUGCCACAUCUUUGCGUCCUUCAGUGACACCUCCGUCCACGUAACGGACUUGUCUGGCAAGUGAGUAACCGAUGUCACACGCCGUCACAGCAGAUGUGGGAUAAAAACACCAGACAGAUCGAUACGGGUGUCGGCAGCUGGAGGUACACACUGGGCUGGGCGUCAUGGGGAUAGGAGGGGAAUUGGUGAGUGCUCUGCUGUGCUCAGUUACCCAGAACCCAGCACACAACCAGAGAGCUGAGUGUGUGUUUAACGUUGCCAGUAGAUGUGACGAUGGAUGCUGGUGAGGAUCACGUGGAGUGUUCAGACUGCAGGAUCAGCUUUAUCCCAGCUGCUCAGUGCUGUGGGUGUCGUUUCCCCCUGCAGAGAGGAAUUCGUUUUCUCGUUAUCCUUGUCAGUCCAGUAACCCCGGCUGACGGGGACGCUGGAUCUCGUACAUUCAUUCCUUGAUGGAAGUGUGUAGGGUUGUAAGAGGCAUAGAGUGGACAGACAGCAUCUCUUUCCUGGAGUGACAGUGGCCAAUACCAGAGGGCAUCUGAUUAAGCUGAUUGGAGGAAAGUAUAGGUGGGAUGUUGGGUUUUCACACAGAGUGGUGGGUGAGUGGACCACUGUGCCUGGGGUGGUGAUGGAGACAGAUACAUUAGGGACAUUUAAGAGACUCUCAGAUAGACACGUGGAUGAUAGAAAAUUGGAGGUUAUGUGGGAGGAAACGGUUGGAUUGACCUGGAGUAGGCAGGAUAUCAUGGGCCGAAGGGUCUGUAGUGUUCUGUGUUCUAGCUUCAUGACCUGACUGGGGGCCGGUGCACUGACUUCAGACAGUCAGCCGCAGAGCGAGCUGCCCCUUCACCUACUUCAGGGUUUUGAAUUAAUCUGUCUCUGAGACAAAGUUUGCAAUCCGUAGACUGUCAAGACAGCAGGCUGGAUACAGAGAGAAGUUUUCCCUUAGCAAAGGGUUGUCUACAGCCAGAAUUCAAUUCUUGAGAUGCAAGAAAGGCUUUUUAGGGAUGAGCUGUGGAUUCUGUUCAUUCAGAGGUGGGGUUCUCUGUCUGUAAUCUGACAGCCAUGUUGCUGAAUAUAGUGAAGGAAAAAAGGUUGCAGGAAUGUCGGGGGGAGAACACAGAAAUGAUGUGUGUUGCAGACCAGCCAGGUUUGUAUUGAGAUGAGUCUUGACAUGCUGCAUAUCCCGUUACUCAUUUAAUUCCCUCUGGUAUCAGUUACAGAAUAUCUGGGGGAGGUGGCGGGGUUUAUCACUCGGUGCCGUUUAUGUCUCCCUUUGGAUGUCAACUGCCCAGUGGUGGCAGACUUGCAGUCAUUAAGCUGGAAAGGGAGCAAAGAAGAUCUGUGUUGAUGCUGUCAGAAGUUGAGGGUCUGAGUUCUGAGGGGAGGGUUGAGCAGGCCGGAACUGAUUCCAUGUAAAGUGCGCCGGCUUCCUCCCACGUUCCAAAGACACGUGAUUGAGGGUUAGUGGGCUGUGCCAGUGCUAUGUUGGCACAGGAUACAGAGUGACGCUUGCCGGCUGCCCCAGCACAUUGUCAGACUGUGUUAGUUGUUGGUGCAAAAAGCACCCAUUUCACUGUAUGUUUCGACGUAGAUGUGACAAAUAAAGCUAACCUUUAAUACAGGAGUUCCCCCCGCCCUUUACAAAGGUAAAGUGUUACUAUGAAACCUUUCUUAUGCCGAAAUGGCGUAAAGCGAAGAACCAUUAACUUAUAUGGGAACAAUUUUCGUAAAAGCGAAAAUCCUCUUUGUAAUGCUAAAACAGGUUACUAACGUAGGCCUUUCGUAAAAGCGAAGCGGCGUACAGCGAACAUCCGUAAAGUGGGGGACACCUGUAUCUAGUGUGGACUGGAGGCUGUCCGAGAGGUGAGAGAAAAGGUUUAAAAGGACCUGGAGGCAAACAUUUCAAAGUAAAAUUUAUUAUCAGAGUACAUGCACGUCACCUCAUACGACCCUGAGAUUCUUUCUCUGCGUACAUAAGAAAUUAGUUUUGAACAUUUUGUUACAGAGGGUGGUGCUUAACGUGCAAUAAGCUGCCAGAGGGAUUUGAGGCAGGUUCAAUGAUAAGAUUUAAAAGCUACUUGGAGUGGUGCAUGGAUAGGCAAUGUUAAAAGGGAUUUGGAGCAAUGGGAUAGUAUAAGUGGGCAUCUUGGUUAGUAUGAAUAUGUUGGGCUGAGCGGCCUGUUUCUGUGUGGCAUUCGUCUCUGUGAUUAUGGGCUCUGAUGUGGUUGAUACUCUGUUCUCACGUUACUGUUAAAUGAGACCUUUCUCCGUACAAAUUGCUUGUUGUGUUUUCUCUGUUGUGUUGACCUGAUGUUGGGUAUUGAAUUGUUUGUCUAGUGUUUAUGCGCUACACGCGUGCUGUAUCGGUGUCCUCUUCCACAACCCCUGUUACAUUGCUACUGUGCUACCCUCUUUCAGAAUGGCUCCCCGAAAAGGAAAGGAGAAGAAUGGAGAGCAGGUGAUGACCACAGGUGGCUGAGGGGGAGAAUGUAUUCGAAGUUUUCAACGACACCUUUGCCCCCGUAACGGACCUGUCUAACAAAAUGGCUCCCCGAAAAGGAAAGGAGAAGAAUGGAGAGCAGGUGAUGACCACAGGUGGCUGAGGGGGAGAAUGUAUUCGAAGUUUUCAACGACACCUUUGCCCCCGUAACGGACCUGUCUAACAAAAUGGCUCCCCGAAAAGGAAAGGAGAAGGAAGAGCAGGUGAUCAGUUUGGGACCACAGGUGGCUGAGGGAGAGGACGUAUUCGGAGUUUGCCACAUCUUUGCGUCCUUCAGUGACACCUCCGUCCACGUAACGGACUUGUCUGGCAAGUGAGUAACCGAUGUCACACGCCGUCACAGCAGAUGUGGGAUAAAAACACCAGACAGAUCGAUACGGGUGUCGGCAGCUGGAGGUACACACUGGGCUGGGCGUCAUGGGGAUAGGAGGGGAAUUGGUGAGUGCUCUGCUGUGCUCAGUUACCCAGAACCCAGCACACAACCAGAGAGCUGAGUGUGUGUUUAACGUUGCCAGUAGAUGUGACGAUGGAUGCUGGUGAGGAUCACGUGGAGUGUUCAGACUGCAGGAUCAGCUUUAUCCCAGCUGCUCAGUGCUGUGGGUGUCGUUUCCCCCUGCAGAGAGGAAUUCGUUUUCUCGUUAUCCUUGUCAGUCCAGUAACCCCGGCUGACGGGGACGCUGGAUCUCGUACAUUCAUUCCUUGAUGGAAGUGUGUAGGGUUGUAAGAGGCAUAGAGUGGACAGACAGCAUCUCUUUCCUGGAGUGACAGUGGCCAAUACCAGAGGGCAUCUGAUUAAGCUGAUUGGAGGAAAGUAUAGGUGGGAUGUUGGGUUUUCACACAGAGUGGUGGGUGAGUGGACCACUGUGCCUGGGGUGGUGAUGGAGACAGAUACAUUAGGGACAUUUAAGAGACUCUCAGAUAGACACGUGGAUGAUAGAAAAUUGGAGGUUAUGUGGGAGGAAACGGUUGGAUUGACCUGGAGUAGGCAGGAUAUCAUGGGCCGAAGGGUCUGUAGUGUUCUGUGUUCUAGCUUCAUGACCUGACUGGGGGCCGGUGCACUGACUUCAGACAGUCAGCCGCAGAGCGAGCUGCCCCUUCACCUACUUCAGGGUUUUGAAUUAAUCUGUCUCUGAGACAAAGUUUGCAAUCCGUAGACUGUCAAGACAGCAGGCUGGAUACAGAGAGAAGUUUUCCCUUAGCAAAGGGUUGUCUACAGCCAGAAUUCAAUUCUUGAGAUGCAAGAAAGGCUUUUUAGGGAUGAGCUGUGGAUUCUGUUCAUUCAGAGGUGGGGUUCUCUGUCUGUAAUCUGACAGCCAUGUUGCUGAAUAUAGUGAAGGAAAAAAGGUUGCAGGAAUGUCGGGGGGAGAACACAGAAAUGAUGUGUGUUGCAGACCAGCCAGGUUUGUAUUGAGAUGAGUCUUGACAUGCUGCAUAUCCCGUUACUCAUUUAAUUCCCUCUGGUAUCAGUUACAGAAUAUCUGGGGGAGGUGGCGGGGUUUAUCACUCGGUGCCGUUUAUGUCUCCCUUUGGAUGUCAACUGCCCAGUGGUGGCAGACUUGCAGUCAUUAAGCUGGAAAGGGAGCAAAGAAGAUCUGUGUUGAUGCUGUCAGAAGUUGAGGGUCUGAGUUCUGAGGGGAGGGUUGAGCAGGCCGGAACUGAUUCCAUGUAAAGUGCGCCGGCUUCCUCCCACGUUCCAAAGACACGUGAUUGAGGGUUAGUGGGCUGUGCCAGUGCUAUGUUGGCACAGGAUACAGAGUGACGCUUGCCGGCUGCCCCAGCACAUUGUCAGACUGUGUUAGUUGUUGGUGCAAAAAGCACCCAUUUCACUGUAUGUUUCGACGUAGAUGUGACAAAUAAAGCUAACCUUUAAUACAGGAGUUCCCCCCGCCCUUUACAAAGGUAAAGUGUUACUAUGAAACCUUUCUUAUGCCGAAAUGGCGUAAAGCGAAGAACCAUUAACUUAUAUGGGAACAAUUUUCGUAAAAGCGAAAAUCCUCUUUGUAAUGCUAAAACAGGUUACUAACGUAGGCCUUUCGUAAAAGCGAAGCGGCGUACAGCGAACAUCCGUAAAGUGGGGGACACCUGUAUCUAGUGUGGACUGGAGGCUGUCCGAGAGGUGAGAGAAAAGGUUUAAAAGGACCUGGAGGCAAACAUUUCAAAGUAAAAUUUAUUAUCAGAGUACAUGCACGUCACCUCAUACGACCCUGAGAUUCUUUCUCUGCGUACAUAAGAAAUUAGUUUUGAACAUUUUGUUACAGAGGGUGGUGCUUAACGUGCAAUAAGCUGCCAGAGGGAUUUGAGGCAGGUUCAAUGAUAAGAUUUAAAAGCUACUUGGAGUGGUGCAUGGAUAGGCAAUGUUAAAAGGGAUUUGGAGCAAUGGGAUAGUAUAAGUGGGCAUCUUGGUUAGUAUGAAUAUGUUGGGCUGAGCGGCCUGUUUCUGUGUGGCAUUCGUCUCUGUGAUUAUGGGCUCUGAUGUGGUUGAUACUCUGUUCUCACGUUACUGUUAAAUGAGACCUUUCUCCGUACAAAUUGCUUGUUGUGUUUUCUCUGUUGUGUUGACCUGAUGUUGGGUAUUGAAUUGUUUGUCUAGUGUUUAUGCGCUACACGCGUGCUGUAUCGGUGUCCUCUUCCACAACCCCUGUUACAUUGCUACUGUGCUACCCUCUUUCAGAAUGGCUCCCCGAAAAGGAAAGGAGAAGAAUGGAGAGCAGGUGAUGACCACAGGUGGCUGAGGGGGAGAAUGUAUUCGAAGUUUUCAACGACACCUUUGCCCCCGUAACGGACCUGUCUAACAAAAUGGCUCCCCGAAAAGGAAAGGAGAAGGAAGAGCAGGUGAUCAGUUUGGGACCACAGGUGGCUGAGGGAGAGGACGUAUUCGGAGUUUGCCACAUCUUUGCGUCCUUCAGUGACACCUCCGUCCACGUAACGGACUUGUCUGGCAAGUGAGUAACCGAUGUCACACGCCGUCACAGCAGAUGUGGGAUAAAAACACCAGACAGAUCGAUACGGGUGUCGGCAGCUGGAGGUACACACUGGGCUGGGCGUCAUGGGGAUAGGAGGGGAAUUGGUGAGUGCUCUGCUGUGCUCAGUUACCCAGAACCCAGCACACAACCAGAGAGCUGAGUGUGUGUUUAACGUUGCCAGUAGAUGUGACGAUGGAUGCUGGUGAGGAUCACGUGGAGUGUUCAGACUGCAGGAUCAGCUUUAUCCCAGCUGCUCAGUGCUGUGGGUGUCGUUUCCCCCUGCAGAGAGGAAUUCGUUUUCUCGUUAUCCUUGUCAGUCCAGUAACCCCGGCUGACGGGGACGCUGGAUCUCGUACAUUCAUUCCUUGAUGGAAGUGUGUAGGGUUGUAAGAGGCAUAGAGUGGACAGACAGCAUCUCUUUCCUGGAGUGACAGUGGCCAAUACCAGAGGGCAUCUGAUUAAGCUGAUUGGAGGAAAGUAUAGGUGGGAUGUUGGGUUUUCACACAGAGUGGUGGGUGAGUGGACCACUGUGCCUGGGGUGGUGAUGGAGACAGAUACAUUAGGGACAUUUAAGAGACUCUCAGAUAGACACGUGGAUGAUAGAAAAUUGGAGGUUAUGUGGGAGGAAACGGUUGGAUUGACCUGGAGUAGGCAGGAUAUCAUGGGCCGAAGGGUCUGUAGUGUUCUGUGUUCUAGCUUCAUGACCUGACUGGGGGCCGGUGCACUGACUUCAGACAGUCAGCCGCAGAGCGAGCUGCCCCUUCACCUACUUCAGGGUUUUGAAUUAAUCUGUCUCUGAGACAAAGUUUGCAAUCCGUAGACUGUCAAGACAGCAGGCUGGAUACAGAGAGAAGUUUUCCCUUAGCAAAGGGUUGUCUACAGCCAGAAUUCAAUUCUUGAGAUGCAAGAAAGGCUUUUUAGGGAUGAGCUGUGGAUUCUGUUCAUUCAGAGGUGGGGUUCUCUGUCUGUAAUCUGACAGCCAUGUUGCUGAAUAUAGUGAAGGAAAAAAGGUUGCAGGAAUGUCGGGGGGAGAACACAGAAAUGAUGUGUGUUGCAGACCAGCCAGGUUUGUAUUGAGAUGAGUCUUGACAUGCUGCAUAUCCCGUUACUCAUUUAAUUCCCUCUGGUAUCAGUUACAGAAUAUCUGGGGGAGGUGGCGGGGUUUAUCACUCGGUGCCGUUUAUGUCUCCCUUUGGAUGUCAACUGCCCAGUGGUGGCAGACUUGCAGUCAUUAAGCUGGAAAGGGAGCAAAGAAGAUCUGUGUUGAUGCUGUCAGAAGUUGAGGGUCUGAGUUCUGAGGGGAGGGUUGAGCAGGCCGGAACUGAUUCCAUGUAAAGUGCGCCGGCUUCCUCCCACGUUCCAAAGACACGUGAUUGAGGGUUAGUGGGCUGUGCCAGUGCUAUGUUGGCACAGGAUACAGAGUGACGCUUGCCGGCUGCCCCAGCACAUUGUCAGACUGUGUUAGUUGUUGGUGCAAAAAGCACCCAUUUCACUGUAUGUUUCGACGUAGAUGUGACAAAUAAAGCUAACCUUUAAUACAGGAGUUCCCCCCGCCCUUUACAAAGGUAAAGUGUUACUAUGAAACCUUUCUUAUGCCGAAAUGGCGUAAAGCGAAGAACCAUUAACUUAUAUGGGAACAAUUUUCGUAAAAGCGAAAAUCCUCUUUGUAAUGCUAAAACAGGUUACUAACGUAGGCCUUUCGUAAAAGCGAAGCGGCGUACAGCGAACAUCCGUAAAGUGGGGGACACCUGUAUCUAGUGUGGACUGGAGGCUGUCCGAGAGGUGAGAGAAAAGGUUUAAAAGGACCUGGAGGCAAACAUUUCAAAGUAAAAUUUAUUAUCAGAGUACAUGCACGUCACCUCAUACGACCCUGAGAUUCUUUCUCUGCGUACAUAAGAAAUUAGUUUUGAACAUUUUGUUACAGAGGGUGGUGCUUAACGUGCAAUAAGCUGCCAGAGGGAUUUGAGGCAGGUUCAAUGAUAAGAUUUAAAAGCUACUUGGAGUGGUGCAUGGAUAGGCAAUGUUAAAAGGGAUUUGGAGCAAUGGGAUAGUAUAAGUGGGCAUCUUGGUUAGUAUGAAUAUGUUGGGCUGAGCGGCCUGUUUCUGUGUGGCAUUCGUCUCUGUGAUUAUGGGCUCUGAUGUGGUUGAUACUCUGUUCUCACGUUACUGUUAAAUGAGACCUUUCUCCGUACAAAUUGCUUGUUGUGUUUUCUCUGUUGUGUUGACCUGAUGUUGGGUAUUGAAUUGUUUGUCUAGUGUUUAUGCGCUACACGCGUGCUGUAUCGGUGUCCUCUUCCACAACCCCUGUUACAUUGCUACUGUGCUACCCUCUUUCAGAAUGGCUCCCCGAAAAGGAAAGGAGAAGAAUGGAGAGCAGGUGAUGACCACAGGUGGCUGAGGGGGAGAAUGUAUUCGAAGUUUUCAACGACACCUUUGCCCCCGUAACGGACCUGUCUAACAAAAUGGCUCCCCGAAAAGGAAAGGAGAAGGAAGAGCAGGUGAUCAGUUUGGGACCACAGGUGGCUGAGGGAGAGGACGUAUUCGGAGUUUGCCACAUCUUUGCGUCCUUCAGUGACACCUCCGUCCACGUAACGGACUUGUCUGGCAAGUGAGUAACCGAUGUCACACGCCGUCACAGCAGAUGUGGGAUAAAAACACCAGACAGAUCGAUACGGGUGUCGGCAGCUGGAGGUACACACUGGGCUGGGCGUCAUGGGGAUAGGAGGGGAAUUGGUGAGUGCUCUGCUGUGCUCAGUUACCCAGAACCCAGCACACAACCAGAGAGCUGAGUGUGUGUUUAACGUUGCCAGUAGAUGUGACGAUGGAUGCUGGUGAGGAUCACGUGGAGUGUUCAGACUGCAGGAUCAGCUUUAUCCCAGCUGCUCAGUGCUGUGGGUGUCGUUUCCCCCUGCAGAGAGGAAUUCGUUUUCUCGUUAUCCUUGUCAGUCCAGUAACCCCGGCUGACGGGGACGCUGGAUCUCGUACAUUCAUUCCUUGAUGGAAGUGUGUAGGGUUGUAAGAGGCAUAGAGUGGACAGACAGCAUCUCUUUCCUGGAGUGACAGUGGCCAAUACCAGAGGGCAUCUGAUUAAGCUGAUUGGAGGAAAGUAUAGGUGGGAUGUUGGGUUUUCACACAGAGUGGUGGGUGAGUGGACCACUGUGCCUGGGGUGGUGAUGGAGACAGAUACAUUAGGGACAUUUAAGAGACUCUCAGAUAGACACGUGGAUGAUAGAAAAUUGGAGGUUAUGUGGGAGGAAACGGUUGGAUUGACCUGGAGUAGGCAGGAUAUCAUGGGCCGAAGGGUCUGUAGUGUUCUGUGUUCUAGCUUCAUGACCUGACUGGGGGCCGGUGCACUGACUUCAGACAGUCAGCCGCAGAGCGAGCUGCCCCUUCACCUACUUCAGGGUUUUGAAUUAAUCUGUCUCUGAGACAAAGUUUGCAAUCCGUAGACUGUCAAGACAGCAGGCUGGAUACAGAGAGAAGUUUUCCCUUAGCAAAGGGUUGUCUACAGCCAGAAUUCAAUUCUUGAGAUGCAAGAAAGGCUUUUUAGGGAUGAGCUGUGGAUUCUGUUCAUUCAGAGGUGGGGUUCUCUGUCUGUAAUCUGACAGCCAUGUUGCUGAAUAUAGUGAAGGAAAAAAGGUUGCAGGAAUGUCGGGGGGAGAACACAGAAAUGAUGUGUGUUGCAGACCAGCCAGGUUUGUAUUGAGAUGAGUCUUGACAUGCUGCAUAUCCCGUUACUCAUUUAAUUCCCUCUGGUAUCAGUUACAGAAUAUCUGGGGGAGGUGGCGGGGUUUAUCACUCGGUGCCGUUUAUGUCUCCCUUUGGAUGUCAACUGCCCAGUGGUGGCAGACUUGCAGUCAUUAAGCUGGAAAGGGAGCAAAGAAGAUCUGUGUUGAUGCUGUCAGAAGUUGAGGGUCUGAGUUCUGAGGGGAGGGUUGAGCAGGCCGGAACUGAUUCCAUGUAAAGUGCGCCGGCUUCCUCCCACGUUCCAAAGACACGUGAUUGAGGGUUAGUGGGCUGUGCCAGUGCUAUGUUGGCACAGGAUACAGAGUGACGCUUGCCGGCUGCCCCAGCACAUUGUCAGACUGUGUUAGUUGUUGGUGCAAAAAGCACCCAUUUCACUGUAUGUUUCGACGUAGAUGUGACAAAUAAAGCUAACCUUUAAUACAGGAGUUCCCCCCGCCCUUUACAAAGGUAAAGUGUUACUAUGAAACCUUUCUUAUGCCGAAAUGGCGUAAAGCGAAGAACCAUUAACUUAUAUGGGAACAAUUUUCGUAAAAGCGAAAAUCCUCUUUGUAAUGCUAAAACAGGUUACUAACGUAGGCCUUUCGUAAAAGCGAAGCGGCGUACAGCGAACAUCCGUAAAGUGGGGGACACCUGUAUCUAGUGUGGACUGGAGGCUGUCCGAGAGGUGAGAGAAAAGGUUUAAAAGGACCUGGAGGCAAACAUUUCAAAGUAAAAUUUAUUAUCAGAGUACAUGCACGUCACCUCAUACGACCCUGAGAUUCUUUCUCUGCGUACAUAAGAAAUUAGUUUUGAACAUUUUGUUACAGAGGGUGGUGCUUAACGUGCAAUAAGCUGCCAGAGGGAUUUGAGGCAGGUUCAAUGAUAAGAUUUAAAAGCUACUUGGAGUGGUGCAUGGAUAGGCAAUGUUAAAAGGGAUUUGGAGCAAUGGGAUAGUAUAAGUGGGCAUCUUGGUUAGUAUGAAUAUGUUGGGCUGAGCGGCCUGUUUCUGUGUGGCAUUCGUCUCUGUGAUUAUGGGCUCUGAUGUGGUUGAUACUCUGUUCUCACGUUACUGUUAAAUGAGACCUUUCUCCGUACAAAUUGCUUGUUGUGUUUUCUCUGUUGUGUUGACCUGAUGUUGGGUAUUGAAUUGUUUGUCUAGUGUUUAUGCGCUACACGCGUGCUGUAUCGGUGUCCUCUUCCACAACCCCUGUUACAUUGCUACUGUGCUACCCUCUUUCAGAAUGGCUCCCCGAAAAGGAAAGGAGAAGAAUGGAGAGCAGGUGAUGACCACAGGUGGCUGAGGGGGAGAAUGUAUUCGAAGUUUUCAACGACACCUUUGCCCCCGUAACGGACCUGUCUAACAAAAUGGCUCCCCGAAAAGGAAAGGAGAAGGAAGAGCAGGUGAUCAGUUUGGGACCACAGGUGGCUGAGGGAGAGGACGUAUUCGGAGUUUGCCACAUCUUUGCGUCCUUCAGUGACACCUCCGUCCACGUAACGGACUUGUCUGGCAAAAUGGCUCCCCGAAAAGGAAAGGAGAAGAAUGGAGAGCAGGUGAUGACCACAGGUGGCUGAGGGGGAGAAUGUAUUCGAAGUUUUCAACGACACCUUUGCCCCCGUAACGGACCUGUCUAGCAAAAUGGCUCCCCGAAAAGGAAAGGAGAAGGAAGAGCAGGUGAUCAGUUUGGGACCACAGGUGGCUGAGGGAGAGGACGUAUUCGGAGUUUGCCACAUCUUUGCGUCCUUCAGUGACACCUCCGUCCACGUAACGGACUUGUCUGGCAAGUGAGUAACCGAUGUCACACGCCGUCACAGCAGAUGUGGGAUAAAAACACCAGACAGAUCGAUACGGGUGUCGGCAGCUGGAGGUACACACUGGGCUGGGCGUCAUGGGGAUAGGAGGGGAAUUGGUGAGUGCUCUGCUGUGCUCAGUUACCCAGAACCCAGCACACAACCAGAGAGCUGAGUGUGUGUUUAACGUUGCCAGUAGAUGUGACGAUGGAUGCUGGUGAGGAUCACGUGGAGUGUUCAGACUGCAGGAUCAGCUUUAUCCCAGCUGCUCAGUGCUGUGGGUGUCGUUUCCCCCUGCAGAGAGGAAUUCGUUUUCUCGUUAUCCUUGUCAGUCCAGUAACCCCGGCUGACGGGGACGCUGGAUCUCGUACAUUCAUUCCUUGAUGGAAGUGUGUAGGGUUGUAAGAGGCAUAGAGUGGACAGACAGCAUCUCUUUCCUGGAGUGACAGUGGCCAAUACCAGAGGGCAUCUGAUUAAGCUGAUUGGAGGAAAGUAUAGGUGGGAUGUUGGGUUUUCACACAGAGUGGUGGGUGAGUGGACCACUGUGCCUGGGGUGGUGAUGGAGACAGAUACAUUAGGGACAUUUAAGAGACUCUCAGAUAGACACGUGGAUGAUAGAAAAUUGGAGGUUAUGUGGGAGGAAACGGUUGGAUUGACCUGGAGUAGGCAGGAUAUCAUGGGCCGAAGGGUCUGUAGUGUUCUGUGUUCUAGCUUCAUGACCUGACUGGGGGCCGGUACACUGACUUCAGACAGUCAGCCGCAGAGCGAGCUGCCCCUUCACCUACUUCAGGGUUUUGAAUUAAUCUGUCUCUGAGACAAAGUUUGCAAUCCGUAGACUGUCAAGACAGCAGGCUGGAUACAGAGAGAAGUUUUCCCUUAGCAAAGGGUUGUCUACAGCUUGAAUUCAAUUCUUGAGAUGCAAGAAAGGCCUUUUAGGGAUGAGCUGUGGAUUCUGUUCAUUCAGAGGUGGGGUUCUCUGUCUGUAAUCUGACAGCCAUGUUGCUGAAUAUAGUGAAGGAAAAAAGGUUGCAGGAAUGUCGGGGGGAGAACACAGAAAUGAUGUGUGUUGCAGACCAGCCAGGUUUGUAUUGAGAUGAGUCUUGACAUGCUGCAUAUCCCGUUACUCAUUUAAUUCCCUCUGGUAUCAGUUACAGAAUAUCUGGGGGAGGUGGCGGGGUUUAUCACUGGGUGCCGUUUAUGUCUCCCUUUGGAUGUCAACUGCCCUGUGGUGGCAGACUUGCAGUCAUUAAGCUGGAAAGGGAGCAAAGAAGAUCUGUGUUGAUGCUGUCAGAAGUUGAGGGUCUGAGUUCUGAGGGGAGGUUUGAGCAGGGCGGAACUGAUUCCAUGUAAAGUGCGCCGGCUUCCUCCCACGUUCCAAAGACACGUGAUUGAGGGUUAGUGGGCUGUGCCAGUGCUAUGUUGGCACAGGAUACAGAGUGACGCUUGCCGGCUGCCCCAGCGCAUUGUUAGACUGUGUUAGUUGUUGGUGCAAAAAGCACCCAUUUCACUGUAUGUUUCGACGUAGAUGUGACAAAUAAAGCUAACCUUUAAUACAGGAGUUCCCCCCGCCCUUUACAAAGGUAAAGUGUUACUAUGAAACCUUUCUUAUGCCGAAAUGGCGUAAAGCGAAGAACCAUUAACUUAUAUGGGAACAAUUUUCGUAAAAGCGAAAAUCCUCUUUGUAAUGCUAAAACAGGUUACUAACGUAGGCCUUUCGUAAAAGCGAAGCGGCGUACAGCGAACAUCCGUAAAGUGGGGGACACCUGUAUCUAGUGUGGACUGGAGGCUGUCCGAGAGGUGAGAGAAAAGGUUUAAAAGGACCUGGAGGCAAACAUUUCAAAGUAAAAUUUAUUAUCAGAGUACAUGCACGUCACCUCAUACGACCCUGAGAUUCUUUCUCUGCGUACAUAAGAAAUUAGUUUUGAACAUUUUGUUACAGAGGGUGGUGCUUAACGUGCAAUAAGCUGCCAGAGGGAUUUGAGGCAGGUUCAAUGAUAAGAUUUAAAAGCUACUUGGAGUGGUGCGUGGAUAGGCAAUGUUAAAAGGGAUUUGGAGCAAUGGGAUAGUAUAAGUGGGCAUCUUGGUUAGUAUGAAUAUGUUGGGCUGAGCGGCCUGUUUCUAUGUGGCAUUCGUCUCUGUGAUUAUGGGCUCUGAUGUGGUUGAUCUGUUCUCACGUUACUGUUAAAUGAGACCUUUCUCCGUACAAAUUGCUUGUUGUGUUUUCUCUGUUGUGUUGACCUGAUGUUGGGUAUUGAAUUGUUUGUCUAGUGUUUAUGCGCUACACGCGUGCUGUAUCGGUGUCCUCUUCCACAACCCCUGUUACAUUGCUACUGUGCUACCCUCUUUCAGAAUGGCUCCCCGAAAAGGAAAGGAGAAGAAUGGAGAGCAGGUGAUGACCACAGGUGGCUGAGGGGGAGAAUGUAUUCGAAGUUUUCAACGACACCUUUGCCCCCGUAACGGACCUGUCUAGCAACCCCAAUCUCUUGCCUUCUGCCUGUGUCCCUUCAUGUGCUGACUUGCCUGGAAUACAUCAACCUCUGCCUUAUCGCCUCCACUACCACCUGUGGUAAUGUGUUCUACAGAUUCGCCACUCUGUGGCUAAGAAAUUCCUCUUCAGAAUGGCUCCCCGAAAAGGAAAGGAGAAGGAAGAGCAGGUGAUCAGUUUGGGACCACAGGUGGCUGAGGGAGAGGACGUAUUCGGAGUUUGCCACAUCUUUGCGUCCUUCAGUGACACCUCCGUCCACGUAACGGACUUGUCUGGCAAAAUGACUCCCCAAAAAUGACAGGAGAAAGAAGAACAGGUGAUCAGUUUGGGACCACAGGUGGCUGAGAGGGAGAAUGUAUUUGGAGUUUGCCACAUCUUUGCUUCCUUCAUCGACACCUUUGUCCACGUAACGGACCUGUCCGGCAACUUCAGCUUACUGUCUUUCUCAGUCCUGAAGGAGCCUGACUGGAAACGUUGACUGUUCUUUGGUAUGGAAGCUUUGCUGAUGGGUUAUGACGCUGCGAGAACCCUGGUGCUGCACUGGAUACUUGUGAAGAUGGACGUACAUUUCCAUAUCUGUGGACCAAGCUGGAUCUUUCCACCCCUGUACAGCCCUUGUAGACUAUCUCAAAGCACUCCUCCUCAACUUCCGGCAGCACUCCUGAUCUACAGGCUUGCAGUGCAGAGGGCGUGUGGGUUGCUCGGGGGAUUGCCUAGUGGGCCUGCUCCUGAUAUGGCCAUUCAUGGGCUGCCCACUCCUCUUUGGGGUUACAUCCAUGCCUGGGUGUGUUCGGAGAGGGACUGAGAAUGGUGUCCCUCUCCCCUGAAUUGAGUAUUUGGUAGACAAUGGGAAUUGUAUUUUAAUUUGAAAUUGUUAUUAGAUUUGUAAACCCCUGCUAGUUGUAUGUACGGUUUUUUGAGAUUCAAUAAAGUUGCAAGGUUGUAAAAAGAGAGGACCAGGCGGGUGUGAUGUCUAUGAACAGUAACUGAGCUCACUGACAUGUUUCCUUCCGAACUGCUGAGAUACCCUUCCCCUGUCCUCUCUCUGACUUUGAACACCAGUCUGAUGUCUAUUCCCUCACUGGUUGCUGAGUUAAAAAAAUACAUCUUCAAGUUUAUUGUCACUGGACUGUAUAUAUAUACAACCAAAAGAAACUACAUUCCUCUGGACCACAGUGCACAAUACAUAUCUCACACAGCACAUAAAAUAUUACCCCAAAUAUAUUUCAAAAUGCAUGUAGGGUGCAGUGGAGGUACAAGAUUGGUGGUGGCAGGCUACAGUGUAUGUGUAGUGUUUGUGGGCUGUUCUGAAUCUAAUGGUGAAGGGGAAAAAGCUGUGGGUCUUCAAACUCCUGUACCACCUCUGGUGCCAGUGAAAUGGGUGUCCAGGAUGGUGAGAGCCCUUAAUGCCACCUUCUUGAGGCAUCAUCUUUGAAGAUGUCUUCGAUGGAUGAUUUUUUAAAUAUAUAUAUAGUAAUAUAUGUGGCUCUUUUAUUAAAGCAUUACAUAUCAAGUAGUGAUGAGCCUGCCAUAAAUAAUAUAAGAUAUAUGUAACAACUAUAAUGUGAUCUGAAAAUGUCUGUGAUUUCUACGGGUGACAAAGUCACGUGUGCUGCUAAUACUGCUGUGUGCUAAUACCACAUCCAUAAUUUAAAUUUUUUUAAUUUAUUAAAUUUUAGAAAAUUACAAAGAAUAAAUAUGAUGAUAAAAUAGUAAGAAAAAUAAUAUUAACCCUCCCCCCCCCCUUAACCCUUAUCUAAAGAAAGAAAGAAAAAAAGAAGAGAAAGAUUGCCUGGUUAUUGGAGGAUCCCCACAUGCUCCAUGGAGCAUUUUAAUAUUUAUUUUUACUUUCCCCAAUUACUUUAUAAUUUUAUCUUCAAAGGACCUAUGUAUUUAGUCCUGUCUUUUGUAAGUAUGGGAGCCAAAUUUUCAAAAAUGUAUCAUUCAUUUCUUAGAUUGUAUGUAAUUUUUUCAAGUGGAAUACAACUAUGUAUUUCAUUAUUCCAACAAUCCAUAGUUAAAUAUAAAUCAGAUUUCCAAGUAACUGCGAUAACUCUUUUGGCUCCUGCCAAUGCAAUUUUUAUAAAUUUUUUCUGAUACUUAUUCAAUUUAAGUUUUGGUAUUGUCCCUUCAAUGUCUCCUAAUAAAAAUAAUACUGGACUAUGUGGGAGUUAUACUCCAGUAAUUUGUUCCAAUAAAAGUCUUAGAUUUAUCCAAAAUGGUUGAAUUUUAAAACAAGACCAAGUAGAAUGUAAAAAAGUACCAAUUUCUUGAUUACAUCGAAAACAUUGGUCAGACAUAUUUGAAUUUAAUCUAUUUAUUUUCUGUGGUGUUAUAUAUAAUUGAUGUAAAAAAAUUAUAUUAUAUUAAUCUAAGUUGAACAUUUAUUGUAUUUCUCAAACUAUAAGAACAUAAUCUUGACCAGUUUUUCCAUCAAUUAUAACAUUCAAAUCAGAUUCCCAUUUUUGUCUUGAUUUAUGAAUUCCUGAUUUAAUUGUCUGUUUUUGAAUCAAAUUAUACAUACAAGAUGUAAAUUUUUUAAUUUUUCCUUUUUGAAUUAAUAUUUCUAUUUCACUAGGUUUUGGCAUCAACAUUGUUUGUCCCAGCUUUUCUCGUAAAUAAGCAUCUAAUUGAAAAUAACAGAAAAGAGUGUUAUUUGAUAUUUUAUAUUUGUUUUUUAAUUGAUCAAAUGACAUCAAUAUACCUCCUUCAAAACAAUCACCUAUAUAUUUAAUCCCCUUUUGGAACCAAUUAUGUAAAAGUUUAUUAUCCAUUGUAAAAGGAAUAAGUCUUUUGAAUGAAAGUUCUUUUUGCUAAUAAAGAUUUCUUUAUCAUCGUCCAUAUUUACCUUAUUCCAUAAAUCAAUCAAGUGUCUUAAUAUAGGAGAUUCUUUUUUUUCCCGUAUCCAUUUGGAUUUCCAUUUAUAUAUAAAAUCUUCUGGUAUGUUUUCUCCUAUCUAAUUCUAUUCAAAUCCAUCCCGGUUUUUCUUCAUCAAAAAAAGAUGCAAUAAAUUGAUUUGCUUUAUAAUAAUUCUUAAAAUUUGGAAGUUGUAACCCUCCUAAAUCAAAUUUACAUGUCAAUUUUUCCGAUGAUAUUCUUGACAUCUUUCCAAAGAAAUUUCCUUACAUAUUUAUUCCAUUCUUGAAAAAACUUCUGAGGUAAUUGUAUUGGUAAAGUUUGGAAUAAAUAUUGCAAUCUAGGAAAUUAUUCAUUUUUACAGCAUUAACUACCUAUUAAUGUUAUUGGUAACAUCAUCCAUUUAUCAAGAUCCUCUUAUUUU